rnacentral:rRNA from 1 species
UACAGGGGGUGCAAACGUUGCUCGGAAUCAUUGGGCGUAAAGCGCACGUAGGCGGUCUGUUAUGUCGGAUGUGAAAGCCCGGGGCUCAACUCCGGAAUUGCCUUUAAGACUGCAUCGCUAGAAUUGUGGAGAGGUAAGUGGAAUUCCGAGUGUAGAGGUGAAAUUCGUAGAUAUUCGGAAGAACACCAGUGGCGAAGGCGACUUACUGGACACAUAUUGACGCUGAGGUGCGAAAGCGUGGGGAGCAAACAGG